UGGCACUGAGGCCGCCGGGCUGAUCUCAUACGCUCCUCCCGGCUGUCUCUGGCUGGCUCUACCUGCAGGCUGCCGCUCGUUAUUUUUUUUCCCCGUAUGCGCCUGUGCGCACCACGUGACCAUGCAGUUGACGGAAAGAUGGAAAGUAGAAAGAGCAAGGGUGGCGCGGAGAAGGCAAGAAUUAAAAAGAGGAAAGCGCUGGAAACAGAUGCAGCUAAAUGUGCCAAAAUGAGCACCUUUUUUCUCAAACAAGCUUGCGGUCUUUAACUUCAAAUGAAGAUAAAACGGGUAAGGCAAGUCAAGAUGUUAAACUUUACCAGCUGCAAAUCACCAUUCAAGUUAAUUAAGCAUCAAUAAUGAAUUAUAUGGCAUCAUGACAUAACGUUAUGUAAUAUAAUUAACAGUAUGAUGUGACUGAUGCCACCAAACUGUCUUGUAGCCCCUCAGAGUCAAACACAAGAUCCAGUAGGCCUAAUAAGCACCAGGCAGAAGCCCACAGUUCCAGAGCGGGCAUGUACAGUGUCAGAAGAAGAGCCAGGAGCCAGCAGUGAGGGUAUUGCUCCUGUUGGGAUAGAAGGUGAGCCAACUCAUGCACAAACAUCAGUUUCAUUAUAAUAAUUUUAAUGUCCAAAUAAUAGUAGUGACCUGUUGUAUUUUUAUUAGUAAAUGCACAAAGCCCACAACAGAUCGCUAUUAGAAUGAAAGUAAAAUGAAAUAAGCCUGCAUAUUUUGCCAUAGAAAAUAUUUUAAUUGGUUACAAAAAUGUGUUUUCCAUAUCAAAUGUGCUAAAGCUUUACAGAUGAUUAUUUUAAUUGUGUGCAGGUGAGUCUAGGGAAACUGGAAAAAGUGUGAAAGGGAGUGCUGAGUCAUUUCAUUUUAAAGGUUUGAAAAUCUCAGAACAGCUGUUUGAACAGAAGGUAGAUUGUUAUAUUGUUAGAGAAUGUGUUGUAAAGAACAAUGUUGGAGAUGUGCACUGAUGUUCAAAUAAACCUACAUUGUAAAGCAA